GUCUACGGCCAUGCCACCCUGAAUGUGCCCGAUCUUGUCUGAUCUCAGAAGGAAGCAGGGUCGGGCCUGGUUAGUACUUGUCUGAUCUCAGAAGGAAGCAGGGUCGGGCCUGGAUGGGAGACUACCCAGGAAUAUCAGGUGCCGUAGGCA
rnacentral:rRNA from 1 species